UUCUAAAAUAUUAAAACACUAUUUGCAGUAUUCCCCAAAAUAAUGUUCUUACACAUGGAUAUUUUCCUCAGACUAACCGGCUCUUGAUGAUGCAAGGUGUUUUAAAUAAAUCCUGCCAAUAGAUGGAAGCACAGCACAUGGCAUAAGCCCUUUACAAUGGGAGUGUAGUGGUGAACUAAGCAGCAGAUACUCACUAAACAAACCCUCCUCCCUCUUUACACUGAGCCUUUUUAUGAGCAAUCAACCAUUCUCCCAUCAGUGCUCAACUAUGUCUUCAACUAUUCUCCUCCUCAUCUGGUUUUCAUGUCAGGCGAGCGCAGUUAUAUUUCAGCAGUCUCCUCCACAGAUCGUGGAUAAGAAUCGAGAAAUUCAGAUAAACUGCAAGCAUAACGAUAGCUCCCUCAUAUUAAUGCUCUGGUAUCAGCAAAGAAAGGAGAAAGCAUCCAUGACCCUCAUUGGCUCUGGAUAUUAUCAACAGUCCCAAAGGCUAUGUCCACACGUACACGGGUAUUUUUGAAAACGGAGAUUUUCCGUUUUCGUUUUAAAAAAUAAUCCCGUCCACACGUAAAGGCAGAAAUGAAGGAAAACGCUGCUAGGAACAUGCCAAAGCAGCAGGUGGCGCUAUAUUCCUAACCGUGUAGAAAUGUUGGCCAAUCAGAAGUCUAGAAGCCUCGGUGGGAAAUAGUAAACAAAGCUGGGGCAUAGAAGCAGAACCGAGUCGUAUGUGUGGAGGGACAGUAACUGUGUGUGUAUAUGUAAGCAUUUAAACACUGCAGAGAGGACAAUUAACAGUAACAGUAUUGUAGAAAUUCAUUUCAUCGAAACAACAACGUGGCGCACACUGUGACGUCAAAAAAGGCGCACACCUUUGACGCUGCGUUUUCUCCGUUUUUCUCGUCCACACGUAAAUGCAAAAACGGAGUUUUAGAAAAUAUCCACCCUGGCCGGAGUUUUUAGAAAUCUCCGUUUUCACUGACCGAAAACGCCGUUUACGUGUGGACGAAAGGUGCAAACGCAUAGAAAAAUCUGCGUUUUCAAAAAUACCCGGGUACGUGUGGACAUAGCCAAAGUUAUGAGGGUCAAUUUACAGAACAAUUUAUUAUCGCAAGGAGCAGCACAGUAGAAGGAACUCUGACGAUAAAAAACACAGACGCGUCACACUCGGCUGUUUAUUUCUGCGCUGCUUUCACACAGUGAUGUGGUUUAAUGCUGCUCCCUCACUAAAAACCCUCAGCAUUUUUUUUGUAAGUGAGGCAUUAUAGAUGUGCACAUGAAGUCAUAUCCUUAGAAUUGCAGAACAAACCAAGGGGACAGAAUCUUUCCAUAUCUUAGUUAUUAUGUAUGCUGCUGUAUGUAAUGAAAUAAAGAGAAAAAGUUAACUUUGAUUAAUAAUUUUAGCUAAUAAUUACAAACACACUGCAGCAUAGCUUAUGUAUCUUUUGC
rnacentral:lncRNA from 1 species